rnacentral:rRNA from 1 species
UACGUAGGGCGCAAGCGUUAUCCGGAAUUAUUGGGCGUACAGAGCUCGUAGGCGGUCUGUCGCGUCGGCUGUGAAAACCCGGGGCUCAACCCCGGGCCUGCAGUCGAUACGGGCAGACUAGAGUGCGGUAGGGGAGACUGGAAUUCCUGGUGUAGCGGUGAAAUGCGCAGAUAUCAGGAGGAACACCGGUGGCGAAGGCGGGUCUCUGGGCCGUAACUGACGCUGAGGCGCGAAAGCGUGGGGAGCAAACAGG